rnacentral:rRNA from 1 species
UACGUAGGGACCGAGCGUUGUCCGGAAUCAUUGGGCGUAAAGAGCGUGUAGGCGGCCACUUAAGUCCUGCGUGAAAUCUUGCGGCUCAACCGCAAGCGGUCGUGGGAAACUGGGUGGCUAGAGUGCGGGAGAGGAGAGUGGAAUUCCUGGUGUAGCGGUGGAAUGCGCAGAUAUCAGGAAGAACACCCGUGGCGAAGGCGGCUCUCUGGAACGCAACUGACGCUGAGGCGCGAAGGCUCGGGGAGCGAACGGG